CUACUUCCGGGAACUGCCCGAGCCGCUCCUCACGGACCGACUCUACCCAGCCUUCAUGGAGGGCAUCGGUGAGGCCCUGAGGGCUCCUAGGACUGGGCUGGGCCAGACUGAGCCAGGACUCCCUGCCCGGAGAAGUCACCAGCAGGAGAAAUAUCUGUGGCUUCCUUUGCUGGCUGACCUUCCCAGUGCACUGGGGCCUGUGGCUGAGGGGUCCGAGGGUGAGGUGUGGCCUGCUGGGACCUGGUGCAGACACUGGGCCCUUUCUCGCCUGCCUCUUGCCCCUGAUGUCCCCAUGGGCAGCCCCUUCUGCUUCCUAUUUGGACGUUGGCCUCUUGCUUGGAAGCUCGAGCAUCCAGGGAAGACUGCCCUGAGCCCUGUCAGACCCUGCUGCCAAGGAAAACUGCAUGAUGCACCUGCUCCGCUCCCUGCCCGACCCCAACCUCAUCACCUUCCUCUUCCUGCUGGAACACUUGAAAAGGGUUGCCGAGAAGGAGCCCAUCAACAAAAUGUCACUUCACAACCUGGCUACCGUGUUUGGACCCACGUUACUGAG
rnacentral:sRNA from 1 species